CACGUAGGGGGCGAGCGUUGUCCGGAUUUAUUGGGCGUAAAGAGCUCGUAGGCGGUUUCGUAAGUCGGAUGUGAAAACUCCAGGCUCAACUUGGAGACGCCAUUCGAUACUGCGAUGACUUGAGCCCGGUAGGGGAGUGUGGAAUUCCUGGUGUAGCGGUGAAAUGCGCAGAUAUCAGGAGGAACACCGGCGGCGAAGGCGGCACUCUGGGCCGGUACUGACGCUGAGGAGCGAAAGCGUGGGUAGCAAACAGG
rnacentral:rRNA from 1 species